rnacentral:rRNA from 1 species
UACGGGGGGGGGCAAGCGUUGUUCGGAAUUACUGGGCGUAAAGGGCGCGUAGGCGGCCUUCUAAGUCAGACGUGAAAUCCCUCGGCUUAACCGGGGAACUGCGUCUGAUACUGGAUGGCUUGAGUUCGGGAGAGGGAUGCGGAAUUCCAGGUGUAGCGGUGAAAUGCGUAGAUAUCUGGAGGAACACCGGUGGCGAAGGACGGCGAUCCUGGACCGAUACUGACGCUGAGGAGCGAAAGCCAGGGGAGCAAACGGG